ensembl:lncRNA ERVK13-1 endogenous retrovirus group K13 member 1
AGGGAAGGAGGACUCUGAGGAGGCCCCGAGCGGCGGAGCGCUUCGGGGGAGGCGCCCGCGCAGACGCGAGGCCCAUAGCCAGGACCACCACCUAGCUGUCUGGGGACGACGGUUUAAAAAUUUAUGCCUUGCAUGCGAUGUGCAGUGGGUGAUGGAAGAACGUCUACAUGGCUUUAAAAUUGGAUUUAAAAGGCAAAUAUUUUAAAUGAAGGAAAACCCAAGAAGUUUACUUGAUUCCUUAUCUUCCAGGAUGCGACUUUUGUUUAUUUAUUUAUUUUAUUUUGAUGGAGUCUCGCUGCCGUCGCGCAGGCUGGAGUGCAGUGACGCGAUCUUGACCCGGGAACCUCCACCUCCCGGGUUCAAGCGAUUCUCCUUCCUCAACCACCCGAGUAGCUGGGAUUACAGGCGUGUGCCACCAUGCCCGGCUAAUUUUUGUGUUUUUAGUAGAGACCGGGGAAGGUAUGGGCCCUCUUUUGAGAAAAAUGCAGAGUGACACUGAAUUUUGUAACUACAUCAGGAGGCUCUUGAACCUUCUGCAGCUCACUCGUGGAGUUUGUAGAGAUGCGUAAUAAUCCGAAGUGUUAAGGAAGAAGGUUCUGUUGAGAAAAAGUUGGAGGGCUGAAAGGGAUGCCUUUCGCUAUUUCGACAUGUGUGGCUGUACCCCAGAGUGCCCUGGCUAACACGCAAAACCAUGAAUUAGGCGGCUUGGCGAGGCUCAGUGGAGGCUGGGGCCGAGAGUCAUGUCAAAGUUUGUGGGGUUAACCUGCACCCAGUGACAGUCAUGGCGAAGUUUGUGAGGUUAACUCGCACCCAGUAACGCUGUUCCAAUGCAAGGUGUGUAUUUGGUGUCAUCCACGGGAAGAGGAAACAGCAAAUUUUCUCAUGGCCUUGGCAGUUCCACAUGAUGGACAUUUCAUAUCUGCAGUUUUCUUCGCAUGAGAUGGCUUUUUUGCACAAAAACACUGGAAUCCAGUGAGCAAGAAUGAUAGAAUGCAAGAUGGAUUUCCACAUGAGGAAGUGUCACGAACAAGCGUUUUGCAUCUCUGUCAGCUGGAUUCCCCCAUGUGUACGUAUGUGAGAACAUGCCGUGUUUCCUGUCUGUAAUGGUAGAGGCAGCCCUGAUACUGGAUUUUCACCUGAGGAUGGAUAGAUCUUCAGGGUUCAAGUGGGUUUGCAUCUGGACUUUAGGGUGGCCCUGUAGGCCCUGUGUGAGAAGCCCCCUUCCCAGUGAACUUUCCCUUGUGUGCCCGCGUGGACAGCCAACAGGGGGAGCAGUGCGAGCGUGAAGGCAGACAGUGGCCUGGCCCAGUCUGAUGGGAGAGACCCACCGACCCUGUGGGGCUGGUCCCUACAUCUGGCGCUCUGACGUGGGGCUCUCCCUCGCUGUGUGAAGUUGCACCCUGAGUGCGGGAUCAGCGGAGGAGUUCAACGAGAGAUUCCUGAGGAUUGCAGUCUAUAAACUUGGUGGAAAAGAACUACAGCCUGUGUGGGUCCCCUCCCGACAAUUAAAAUUGCACCAUAACUCCAAAGAUGAAACGCUCCCAGAAAGAAAAGGCAAAGACCCAUCGGAAACAAAAGAGCAACUUUCACCGCCUGAUACAUACACUUCAUGACAUCCACAUUGAGACAAAAUCUCGCCGUGUGACCUACAACACCUCUCGUUCAACCCCACCUACUUGGGGUCGAAUACAGAUUUUAUCUCAUCAAACAGAAAAAUUCUUAACAGAAAAAGGAAUCCCAAAAAUGACUGGUAAUAUAAUUCUGGCUGCCUUUAUGGUAGUCAGUGCAGCGUCUGCAGAUGCCUCUAAGGAGUCCGAAACCAAGUCCGAAGUCAACAACAAGCAAUGAUGGCGAUGGCGAUUCUAGUUAAUAAAAAGGGGGGAGAUGUGGGCGGCAAGCCACCCAGGCACCGAGGCAAGAGACAGAGGACACGAGCUGUUCCAGUAUAAUAAAAUAUAAAACAAGAAUAGUUAUACCAGAUAUAGAUCUUAGAUAUGAUUAUAUACGAAUAUCAUUAAUCAUGAGUUUGUAGCAAUUACUUUUUAUUCCAAUAUUAUGAUAAUCCUCGCUCUAUAAUCAUAGCCUAGGAAAAACCAGGCCAUACAGAGAUAGGAGCUGAGGGGACAUAGUGAAGUGUGACCAGAAGACAAGAGUGCGAGCCUUCUGUUAUGCCCGGACAGGGCCACCAGAGGGCUCCUUGGUCUAGCGGUGACGCCAGCGUCUGGGAAGACACCCGUUACCAGGCGGAUCGUGGCCCAGCCGUAGCAAAAGGUGUCAAGGAACACCUUUUGCAAAAGGUGUCAACACCCGCUACUUAGCAGACUGGGAAAGGGGGGCGGUCUCCCUUUCCCCGGGGGAGUUUAGAGAAGACUCUGUUCCUCCACCUCUUGUGGAGGGCCUGACAUCAGUCAGGCUUGCCCGUAGUUAUCCGGAGGCCUAACUGUCUCCCUGUGAUGCUGUGCUUCAGUGGUCACGCUCCUAGUCUGCCUUCAUUUUCCAUCCUGUACACCUGGCUCUGCCUUCUAGAUAGCAGUAGUAAAUUAGUGAAAAUACUAAUAGUCCCUGAUAUGCAGAAAUAAUGGCAUAAGCUGUCUUUCUCUCUGUCUCCUCUCCCUCUCUGCCUCGGCUGCCAGGCAGGGAAGGGCCCCCUGUCCAGUGGACACAUGACCCAUGUGACCUUACCUAUCAUUGGAGGUGACUCACAUUCUUUACCCUGCCCCUUCUGCCUUGUAUCCAAUAACAGCGCAGUCAGACAUUCAGGGCCACUACCGGUCUCCGCACAUUGGUGGUAGUGGUCCCCCGGGCCCAGC